rnacentral:misc_RNA from 1 species
AAGUCGUAACAAGGUUUCCGUAGGUGAACCUGCGGAAGGAUCAUUACAGAGUUCCUGCCCUCACGGGUAGAAACCCCACCCUUGUAUAUUAUAUAUUGUUGCUUUGGCGGGCCGCCCUCACAGGCACCGGCUCACGCUGGCUCGCGCCCGCCGAAGGACCCCAAACUCUGAAGUAUAGUGUCGUCUGAGUACUAUUUAAUAGUUAAAACUUUCAACAACGGAUCUCUUGGUUCUG